rnacentral:siRNA from 1 species
UGGAAGGAACCGUACCCCGCUUA